rnacentral:rRNA from 1 species
UACGAAGGGGGGCUAGCGUUGUUCGGAAUCACUGGGCGUAAAGGGCGCGUAGGCGGCUUUGUAAGUCGGGGGUGAAAGCCUGUGGCUCAACCACAGAAUUGCCUUCGAUACUGCAUGGCUUGAGACCGGAAGAGGUAAGUGGAACUGCGAGUGUAGAGGUGAAAUUCGUAGAUAUUCGCAAGAACACCAGUGGCGAAGGCGGCUUACUGGUCCGGAUCUGACGCUGAGGCGCGAAAAGCGUGGGGGAGCAAACAGG